rnacentral:lncRNA from 1 species
UAUAAGGUCUUAGUGUUAUAAAAGUGUGUGUCAAAUUGUGUACAAAAACAUGCAAAUUUACUAAGUAUUCGUGUGAAGAGGAACAGUAAAACGCAGAAUGUACGUUGUCUACACCAUUGUUUAAUCAUUUCAAAGCAUUAUAAAGUUGUCUUUACUUUCUCUUCAGAAACGUCUUUCCUUGUUCUUUACUCUCAAACACUUUAUCUCUUACUUCUUUAUUUACAAGUUUAAAGAUC